AGAGAGCGGUUUGAUAUGUCACUGAAACCAGCAUCCAGGUGGUAUUGCUCCAUAUGCCUGAGACCCUAACAAAAGCCUAAUUACAACUCAUAUGCCUGGAGCCAGGACAUGUGCAGGAUGGUGAUGUAACUUUCCUCUCUGGAAUGGGUCCUGCACAAAGGAAUGAUAGUAACAUAUUGCAAAGCCAGACACACAGCCAUGAUGGUCCAAGUUAUAUUGGGAUUCAGCCAAUAGAAGAUAUUUUGCCUGUCAUCCCUAAGCUUAGGACAAUAGACUCUGCCAAGAGAGGGGAUUAUUACAUAUUGCAGAGCCCAGCACCUAGGUGGAGUGACUCUCAUCUUUUUCUUCUACCCCGUAUAUAGCCAGCUUGGUGACCUACUAUUUGAGUCUAUACCCAGGCCCAGACCACAGAUGAAAUUGUGCAAUAUGUGGAACAAACACCUAAACAAUAUAUAACACCUUCCUUGGCUCUGUCUACAAAGGGCACUUUUAUAUAUCACUGGGACCAUCAACCAGGUGAUGUUAAUUAUCUUCCUGAAACCUGUCUACAAAGAGAGUUGUGUCGUAUACCUAGGCCCGUCAUGGUCCUGCGUACUAGGUGGAUUGUGACAUCUCACUGGACCCGCAACCAUGUAGGUCAUGUGACUUUCAUGCCUUCUCACUGGCCACAGGUGAUGUUGUGCCAUAUAACUGAGACCGUAUCAAAAGCCUAAUAACAAGACGUAUGUCUGGAGCCCCGAUAUGCACAGGAUGGUGAUAUAACCCUCUUCUCUGGAAUGGGCCCCACACAAAGGAAGGAUAGUGACAUAUUGCAAGCCCAGGCACACAGGCCCAGAGCACAGUUGAAAUUGUGACAUAUGUACACCAAGCAACCAAGCAAUGUAUAACACCUCAUUUGGCAAUGGAAUCGAGGGCACUUUUACAUAUCACUGAGACCAGCGCCCAGCUGAUGUGAAAUAUUGGCCUGAACCCUGCCUACAAAAGCAUUGUGGCUUUUAUCUAGCUCCAUUACAUAAGUGAUGUGACUUC
ensembl:lncRNA LINC00293 long intergenic non-protein coding RNA 293